UACGUAGGGUGCGAGCGUUAAUCGGAAUUACUGGGCGUAAAGCGUGCGCAGGCGGUUUUGUAAGCCAGAUGUGAAAGCCCCGGGCUUAACCUGGGAAUGGCAUUUGGGACUGCAAGGCUGGAGUGUGGCAGAGGAGACUGGAAUUCCUGGUGUAGCAGUGAAAUGCGUAGAUAUCAGGAGGAAUACCGAUGGCGAAAGCAGGUCUCUGGGCUGACACUGACGCUCAUGCACGAAAGCGUGGGGAGCAAACAGG
rnacentral:rRNA from 1 species